GCACCCGUAGCUCAAUUGGAUAGAGCACUCGGCUACGAACCGAGCGAUCGGAGGUUCGAAUCCUCUCGGGUGUA
rnacentral:tRNA from 1 species